rnacentral:rRNA from 1 species
GUCUCAAAGAUUAAGCCAUGCAUGUGUAAGUAUAAGUAUUGUACAGCGAAACUGCGAAUGGCUCAUUACAUCAGUUAUAGUUUAUUUGAUAUUUGAAAGUUACAUGGAUAACCGUGGCAAUUCUACAGCUAAUACAUGCAAUAUAGUCUGACUUUUUGGAAGGACUAGCACUUAUUAGAUAUUAAACCAAUCUUCGCAAGAAGUUUUAUGGUGAUUCAUAGUAACUGAACAAAUCACAUGGUCUCGCACUGGUGAUGUUUCAUUCAAAUUUCUGCCCUAUCAACUUGAUGGUAGUAUAUAGGACUACCAUGGUUAUAACGGGUAACGGAGGAUUAGGGUUUGAUUCCGGAGAAGGAGCAUGAGAAACGGCUACUAUUUCUAAGGAAAGCAGCAGGCGCGCAAAUUAUUCAAUGGAAACAAAUUUCCGAAAUAGUGACAAAAAAUAAUCAAUGCUGGACACAAU